AACUCCAGGCUGUUUACCGCCCACAUUUACCAUGUGCCUCUGCUCCUUCUCCUAGAUAAGUAUGCUGUCUGCUUCAUAAUCCACACAAUCGAUGUCAAGUUCAAUGGGAGCCACGUGGUCGGGAGCCCUUUCAAAGUUCGAGUUGGGGAGCCUGGCCAGGCAGGGAAUUCUGCCCUGGUGUCUGCCUAUGGUGCAGGGCUUGAAGAGGGCACCACAGUAAUUGGACCUCUUGAAUUUUGAAAAAUGGAGUUUUGAGUCACAGUUACCUAAGGAGGACCCCAGGCACAAAGUUGAAUACUUCUUGCUGUGAUUAGCUUAUUAGGAGAGAAAAAAAAAAUGACACGUGUAGAAGAAUGAAACUAGAGCCUCAUCUUUCAUGUUGCACAGAAGUCAACGCUAAAUGGAUCAAAGACCUCAAUGUGAAACGGGAAGCCCUGCUGGCUCUGGGGCUAGGAUUGGGACUGUGUUUGGGAGCCUCAUCAUUGGUUAUGCCAGGAACCCAUCUCUGAAGCAACAGCUCUUCUCCUACGCAAUUCUGGGCUUUGCCCUCUCGGAGGCCGUGGGGCUCUUUUGCCUACUGGUGGCCUUUCUGAGCCUCUUCGCCAUGUGAAACAGCUGUCUCCACCUCCCAUGGAACUUUCUCUCAUGUCUCAUCUGCCCUGCAUGUUCCUUUUCCUGAGACUCCCCAAGAAGUCUGGGGAAAGUGGUUGGCUCAGGGUUUGACAGGGACAAGACAAUAAAUACUGUAUUAAUAAGAUGUAAAAAAAAAAAA